CGCCCGGCCCGCCGCCCGCAGCGGCCCCUGCAUUGCGGAGCGCUACCUGAACGGGGCGGCUCCCGCGGCCCGGCACGGCGGUGCCGCCAGGAGGCGGAGCGGUGAGAUAGUUGGAAAAGCGUACCUCGGGAUCCGCGCCGCUGCCGCCUUCCAGCUGUGCUGGUGCGGUGCUGAGCUCUCCGGCCCUUUGCUGGGCUUCGGCGAUGAAAGAGAUGAAUACAAGAAAAGUUGCUGCUUGAGCUGGGGAACCACGAGAUACUGUCUACUUGGUGAGAUCCACAAGUUCUGAACCCCUCCAACCAGCAGUUGCAUUAGACAAGGUCAACGGCUAAAGGCUUUCUCAGUUUAACAAAAAGCAAUGAGCUUCCAGAAGGAAAAGAGUCUCUAAGGAUGAGGAAAAAGCCACAACGACUGCUUCUGUGGACUUAGCCUCACAGAAACUGACCAUUACCCAACCCUUCUAACUGAGGAAGGUAAGAAGCUGGGCGUGCGUGUUUUUUCAUUUCACAGAUAAGCAUGAGAAAGGAAGAAUCACUCAAAUUAGUAUCCUUUUAAGGAAAAAAAUGAAGUCAUUUUAACCUUUAGUUUCCCUUUAAGUAGUCGGAAAUCAAGAGCCAUUAAAAAAAAAAGAUAAACUCUAUUUCUACUUCAGAAGCAUGCCAAAAAGAAUUUAAAACACAUCUUUAGGACCUAAAGGCUUCUGACUUCUUUUGAAGCAUCAGUGGGGAUUCCAGCAACUUUGAUCUUCAGUCUACUCUAACGCAUAAAAACAUCUCUCCCCAAAUACCCUUGCAUUGUGCAGCUAUCUGACAGCUCCUAUGCAAGGAGAGCAGGCACGUCAAAAGAGCCAUUCACUCACAGUGCCAUUCCUACAGUACCUUUCCUGAAAAGGUAAAAUCAUUUAAGAGUCCAGUACGUCAAGGGAAAAGUUUGCAGACAGAGUUAUGACUUCAUGUGCAUUACGUGUCUUUUUCCAGUCACAGACUGUACAAGAGUUUUUUCUGUACAAGAGAUGAUAGGUGCUAAAAUUCUAAUUAAUACACAGAGGAUUAUAUUGCAAAAAGCUAGUUUUAGAAGUUAAAUCAU